ACGUGGGGGGCAACCUUUUGCCUCGUGGGAAUGCUCCAGCUGGGGAGAUUGGCUAGCUUCGGGCUGAGGUUUGGGGAAGCCUGGCCCAGCAUCCCUAAGGCUUCUCAUCUCAUCCUUCCCAAUAUAUUCUGCCCCUUCCAAGAUAAUACAAUGAUUUCACCCCCCAAACUCACCUUUGUUUUUGAAGGAAGGUGGAUGAGUUUCAAAUCCCUUUCCCUCUCCAGGACUGAAGGUUGUUUAUUUUUCCUUUCCCCUCCACCCCCACCCCUCUUGCAUGCAAAGAUAAAUAUUCAAUUUACAUAAGAUGACAUUUAUGUGACAAUUAAGGAGAUUCCCCGAUGGAAUGUUGUGAACACAUUUGCUUAUAGGAGAAAUAAAUCUAAUAAUAAACAAACUCAGAACAGCUCAAAUCCUCUGACAGGGAGGUUGUCUCUGCAACAAAGAGGGGCAUGAGGGACUCUGAAAGCUCUCUGUGCAACAAGAAAGAGAUGAACCCAAAGGAAGCCACCAGCAGAAUUUCUUUUCUUUGGCCUUCAUUCACAAAGUUUGAAGAGGCUUGCCUGGCAAGAGGAGGGACUGGCUCACCAUCACCUCACAGUUAGCCCUGGCUUUGGUUUUCAAUGGUCCACUGAGAUUUUCCCAGGCCAAGGUCAAUGUCUGCUAACAGGUGUUGCAGGCAGGGAGUGCCCAACAGAGUGGUUAAUGGCUUCUAAUCCUGGCUUUCCUUUUCAGAAGGCUGAAGCGGGCCAGUGACUACAUCUCUCUGGGUCUGUGUUCACCUUGGUGAGCCGAAAACUCCAGAGACACCUGUGGACACACCAGCUUGAACCCAGAGCUUUGCCUGUGCUAGGCAAGAGAGGACAAUGCUCUCAGUCUUCCCCCUGAGGAUACAUUGCAAGAACUCCAGCGUGCACAGAAAGAGAACCAAGAGUGGAACUGGUAUGUGCAGUGCCUGCGGGGGCCAGAAGAAGGCAUCAGACCUAAGAGGGACAGUUUUAAGUUGGAGCGUCUGAGAAGAUGGCAGAACUUACUUCAAGGGCUGCAGGAUGGUGGCUCACACCUACUAUCCUACCACCUAGGGGGAGCCGAUGGAGGAGAAUCGGGAGUUCAAGGUCAUCCUGGACUACAUAGCAAAUUUGAGGUCAGCCUGGACGGCCGAAGGUCCUGGAUUCAACUCUCAGCAUUGCAAAAAUAAUAAAGAUCUUAUACCCGAGAGGAGUCCAUAGGAUCAGAGUCCUUGAGUACAAGGCACAGACAAGGUUAAGAGGCUAACAGGGUCAGAAGUUUGAGGUGGCUUUCUCUGAAGGGGAAUUAUCAUUCCAUCCAUUGCUGCUGAUGUACCUGCUGUGUGCCAAACAGACCUUGAGAAAGAAGACAAGGCUGGAAGUUUAAGCCUCCUUCAUGAUACAUAGAAACUGCAGCUGGGCCCUGGAACAGAGUCUCACUAUGUGGCCCUUGCUGUCCUGGAAUUCACUACGAAGACCAGUCUGGCCUUGCACUCACAGGGAUCCUUUGUUUCUGCCUUUGGGGUGCUGGAAUCAAAGAGUCCAUGUCUUCUAAAGACUUCUCAUGGAGGUUGACCUAUGGCAGAGACUCAGCAAGCCCGGUUUCUCCGUGAUCUGGGACCUUGGCCAGUUACCUGAGUCUGGGAAUCAAGUGGAGUAAAGACAGUGCUGAGAAGUUUGGUCGUCAGAAGAUGCUCACGCCUGUGGUGGGCCAGAUUCUAUUUCCUCCCAGUUUAUCUACAGGAAAUAUCUCCUGCCCAUGGGGUGACAAAGGCAGGCAUAAUUCAUUAGCAGAACAGUUACUAAGAACCCACUCAGGGCUGGGGUGUUUUUAAGGCCUGUGUUCAGUCCCAAACCUUAAAUCAACUGAACACAAUACCACAUACUAUAACUCUAGUACUCAGGAGGGAGAACCAGGAGAAGCAGGAGAAGCAGAAGUCCAAGGCCAGGAUGGAUUAGCUGGUAAAGGCACCUGAUACUGAGCCUGGCAACCUGAGCUCCAUCCCUGGGACACUCGUGGUUGAAGGAGAGAACUGACCUCUGUAGUUGUCCUCUCAUCUUUGUGAUGCGCAGAGGAAUAAGCAUGCUCACCUGCACCCAGACAAAUAAAUGUAAUAGAAGUCAUUCUUUAAAAA
rnacentral:sRNA from 1 species